rnacentral:rRNA from 1 species
GACGAACGCUGGCGGCGUGCUUAACACAUGCAAGUCGAACGGAAAGGCCCUGCUUGCAGGGUGCUCGAGUGGCGAACGGGUGAGUAACACGUGGGUGAUCUGCCCCUUACUUUGGGAUAAGCCUGGGAAACUGGGUCUAAUACUGGAUAGGACCAUGCUGUAGGUGGUGUGGUGGAAAGAUUAGUUUCGGUAAGGGAUGAGCUCGCGGCCUAUCAGCUUGUUGGUGGGGUAAUGGCCUACCAAGGCGUCGACGGGUAGCCGGCCUGAGAGGGUGGACGGCCACAUUGGGACUGAGAUACGGACCAGACUCCUACGGGAGGCAGCAGUGGGGAAUAGUGCACAAUGGGCGCAAGCCGGAUGCAGCGACGACGUGGGGGGGAUGACGGCCUUCGGGUUGUAAACUCCUUCCAGCCAUGACGAAGCCCUUGUGGUGACGGUAGUGGUAGAAGAAGCACCGGCUAACUACGUG